rnacentral:rRNA from 1 species
GACGAACGCUGGCGGCGUGCUUAACACAUGCAAGUCGAACGAAGUGGCGAACGGGUGAGUAACGCGUAAUCAACCUGCCCUUCAGAGGGGGACAACAGUUGGAAACGACUGCUAAUACCACAUACUGAAGGAGGAGACUGCGUCUGAUUAGCUAGUUGGAGGGGUAACGGCCCACCAAGGCGAAGAUCAGUAGCCGGUCUGAGAGGAUGUACGGCCACAUUGGGACUGUAACACGGCCCAGACUCCUACGGGAUGCAGCAGUGGGGAAUCUUCCGCAAUUGACGAAAGUCUGACGGAGCAACUCCGCGUGAGUGAUGACGGCCUUCGGGUUGUAAAGCUCUGUUAAUCGGGACGCGGUACCGGAAUAGAAAGCCACGGCUAACUACGUGCCAGCAGCCGCGGUAAUUC